rnacentral:rRNA from 1 species
CCUACGGGAGGCAGCAGUGGGGGAUAUUGCACAAUGGGGGGAACCCUGAUGCAGCGACGCCGCGUGGGUGAAGGAGUGCUUCGGCAUGUAAAGCCCUAUCGGCAGGGAAGAAGCAAGACGGUACCUGACUAAGAAGCCCCGGCUAACUACGUGCCAGCAGCCGCGGUAAUACGUAGGGGGCAAGCGUUAUCCGGAUUUACUGGGUGUAAAGGGGGCGCAGACGGCGAUGCAAGCCAGGAGUGAAAGCCCGGGGCCCAACCCCGGGACUGCUCGUGGAACUGCGUGGCUGGAGUGCAGGAGGGGCAGGCGGAAUUCCUGGUGUAGCGGUGAAAUGCGUAGAUAUCAGGAGGAACACCGGUGGCGAAGGCGGCCUGCUGGACUGCAACUGACGUUGAGGCCCGAAAGCGUGGGGAGCGAACAGGAUUAGAUACCCCUGUAGUC